rnacentral:lncRNA from 1 species
UAAGGGGUGGAAUAACCCCUUAACCCCCAAUUUAUACCCAAACACCAUGAAAAAAGGGUGGGGUUUACUAACCCCACUCCCCCUCCCAACUUUAACCCCGCACGCAUCCCGAGCCCUCACCUUUUUCUUCUUUAUCAAUCAUUAACCCCACUCCCCUUCUCAACUUUAACCCCGCACGCAUCCCGAGCCCUCACAUUUUUUCUUAUUUAUCAAUCAUUAUCUUUUUAUCCCACCUACUCCAACCAAACACAAAAAAAUUUUAACACCACUUUAACCCUGAACUUAACCCUAUCCCUGGUAUAGCUACUUUUUCCUUAACCCCGAACCAAACGGAGGCUAAGGAAUAAUUGCAUUU